rnacentral:rRNA from 1 species
UACGUAGGGUGCAAGCGUUAAUCGGAAUUACUGGGCGUAAAGCGUGCGCAGGCGGUUUUGUAAGUUUGUCGUGAAAGCCCCGGGCUCAACCUGGGAAUUGCGAUGAAGACUGCAAGGCUUGAAUCUGGCAGAGGGGGGGUAGAAUUCCACGUGUAGCAGUGAAAUGCGUAGAGAUCGGGAGGAACACCCGUGGCGAAGGCGGCCACCUGGGCCGACCCUGACGCUGAGGCCGCGAAGGCGUGGGGAGCGAACGGG